UACGGAAGGCAGCAGUGGGGAAUAUUGCACAAUGGGCGCAAGCCUGAUGCAGCCAUGCCGCGUGUAUGAAGAAGGCCUUCGGGUUGUAAAGUACUUUCAGUCGUGAGGAAGGUGUUAAGGUUAAUAACCUUAGCAAUUGACGUUAGCGACAGAAGAAGCACCGGCUAACUCCGUGCCAGCAGCCGCGGUAAUACGGAGGGUGCGAGCGUUAAUCGGAAUUACUGGGCGUAAAGGGCACGCAGGCGGUUAAUUAAGUUGGAUGUGAAAUCCCCGGGCUUAACCUGGGAAUGGCAUUCAAGACUGGUUAGCUAGAGUCUUGUAGAGGGGGUAGAAUUCCAUGUGUAGCGGUGAAAUGCGUAGAGAUGUGGAGGAAUACCGGGUGGCGAAGGCGGCCCCUGGGACAAGGGACUGACGCUCAUGUGCGAAAGCGUGGGGAGCAAACAGGGAUUAGAUACC
rnacentral:rRNA from 1 species